CUCCCUCUCUCCCUCCCUUCCUACUAAAAACCAAUAAGGCUAGGGAGCCUAUCUGCAUAGUUCUGUGAAUGUCUCGGAACAAAGCAAUACACAGAAGCUAAUGCUCUCAUCCUGUGUAAGAUACAAAUCUUGUCACAUCAUGGACCAUCGUGGAGCAUGAAGCUAUUUCUAAUGUGAUGGGGGAAAUGUUUCUAGCAGAAGAGCAAGACAUGGUCCUGGUGCAUGAAAGGAGCCUAAGAAAGAAGAGUGAAAGCUGCACGUGUGUGAGUAUCUAGCAGAACAUCUAGAAAAUGCACACCAACCUCCAGCAGCAGAAAACAGUCUACCUCCAGAAAGCCAUAAAAGAGAAAAGAAUGUUGUACCAAACUAAGCAAAUGAAGCAUGAAAUGAAAAGCCGGUUGAGCUGGGAGGUAUAAAGAAUGGAAAGGAAGCAGCUACCACCCCUGGUAACCCCAUCAAUCCGGAGAAGCUUCGCAGAGUUACACUGUGCUCUGUCGGGAAGGAAAUGAAUUUUCCUCAUUGUACACAUUCCGAGAAAAAUGAGGCUAAGACUAUUUCAAAGGAUGUUCUACCUAAUUCGAAUGGGCUUUAAGUGCCAUCUUCACAAUAGCGCCAGAGUCUGGUGUCAGCAAACUGAACAAAUAGAGCUACAGGGAGCGAAUGGGGCUGGGUGCCUCUCCAAAACAUAUGCAGAUGAACUUGAGAUUUCAGAGGACGGUUAAUCCUACACAGCAGUCAAGUGCCUUCCCAGGGGUAUGUCUCAGAUCUCAGAGCAUCCUGGCAGGCAUCCACUGUGCCAUAUGCUUUCGGGAAGUCUGGAUGCUGAAUGUGGUGGCUGUGGGGAAUUGAGCCUUAUUGCUUCAUAAGAUUCCUGGUGGUAGAACUAUUCUGAACAAGAACACGUCCGUCCCCAUAGGUGUGCUCCAAGAAUCACAGAAUAAGAAGGGACUUCGGAGAGAGCCUCACACAGUUGGGCAAUGGGAGCCCAGAGAGGCAAGGAAGGCUCCUUGCCCAAAGUCUUGUACAUCUGAAUCUGCAACUCCUGACUAUUUUUGAGUCUUAUGCUCCAGGCUAAAACUUGUGACUUUAAGUGUGAUGUUCUCGGUGAUGAUUAAUCUAGGAUGUUUCUGUUGUUUUCUUACCGUCAAAGAAUUAACAUCAAAAGGAAAGGAAGGAAGAAAUGUAGAAGUGAAGGCAAGAAGGAAGGAAGGAGGAAAGGAAGGAAGGAAAAUAUAGGCUUUGGGUAAAAAUAAGUUUCUACUCAACACUGACAAAGGUACAGGUUUUGGACAUUGGUUUCCUAAUCUGUAAAUGAGGAAUAGUCAUCACAUCGCUGUCCUGGCUGGUUUUGUGUGUCAACUUGACACAAGCUGGAGUUAUCACAGAGAAAGGAAAGAAAAUGCCUCCAUGAGAUCUAGCUGUAAAUGGAUUAGUGAUCAAGAGUGGGAGGGCCCAGUGUGGGUGGUGCCAUCCCUGGACUGGUGGUCCUGGGUUCUACAAGAAAACAAGCUGAGCAAGCCAGGGGAAGCAAGCCAGGGGAACAUCCCUCCACGGCUCUGCAUCAGCUCCUGCUUCCUGCCCUGUGUGAGUUCCAGUCCUGACUUCCUUUGGUGACGAACAGCAAUGUGAUAGUAUAAGCUGAAUAAACCCUUUCCUCCCCAAC
rnacentral:lncRNA from 1 species